rnacentral:lncRNA from 1 species
CUAAGGUUUGGUCAAAGAUGGAGUCCUUGUCAACUCUAAAUUGAAGCUUCUGCAAAUAAACGAAGACCAACCAAAUGAAAAAAAGCAAAAGCUAUUUAUUCUGAGCUUGCUAUGGCAGGGAGUCAGCCACUGUUACUUGUGUUUUGGCAGAGACUUGAAGGCAGUCAGAAGGGUGAGAAAGCUUUUUAAAAAGAAAGGCUUCAGGUAUGCUUGGACUGGAGGCUGUCAGUAUGGUGACGCUGUAGAUAGAUGAAGAAAAUAAAAAUAUUUUACCCCAGAAUAUAUUUCUUUGGUAUAUUUUAAGAUGGCUGUCAGAGAGCCAGCAAACAGAAGUAACUCUGCAAAACUGUCUUUUGUAGGGGAAAUUUACACCUGCAGAGAAUCUGCAUUAAUCCAGCCUUCCCUUGUCAGGAUUGAGAAAUAAAAAUAAGCCCUAGGCCCUACAACCAACUGAACAGACUCCCUCUUGGCUGACAGGACCACAGAGAAACCUUGAAAGCUGUUUCUGGCUGUGACAGGAUAGGAGGUCGGACGUGCCCCCUUAAAACCCCUCCCUCACUAACUGCCAUUAUGAGGCAGGAGAAUAGCAGAGGGAAUUGGAAGUUGGAUAAAAGGCAGAAUGAGUAAAGGCAGAAACAGAAGCACGGUGAUGGGG